CACAAGCGGUGGAGCAUGUGGUUUAAUUCGAAGCAACGCGAAGAACCUUACCAGGUCUUGACAUCCUUUGACCACUCUAGAGAUAGAGCUUCCCCUUCGGGGGCAAAGUGACAGGUGGUGCAUGGUUGUCGUCAGCUCGUGUCGUGAGAUGUUGGGUUAAGUCCCGCAACGAGCGCAACCCUUAUUGUUAGUUGCCAUCAUUCAGUUGGGCACUCUAGCAAGACUGCCGGUGACAAACCGGAGGAAGGUGGGGAUGACGUCAAAUCAUCAUGCCCCUUAUGACCUGGGCUACACACGUGCUACAAUGGGAAGUACAACGAGUCGCGAAGUCGCGAGGCUAAGCUAAUCUCUUAAAGCUUCUCUCAGUUCGGAUUGUAGGCUGCAACUCGCCUACAUGAAGCCGGAAUCGCUAGUAAUCGCGGAUCAGCACGCCGCGGUGAAUACGUUCCCGGGCCUUGUACACACCGCCCGUCACACCACGAGAGUUUGUAACACCCGAAGUCGGUGAGGUAACCUUUUGGAGCCAGCCGCCUAAGGUGGGAUAGAUGAUUGGGGUGAAGUCGUAACAAGGUAGCCGUAUCGGAAGGUGCGGCUGGAUCACCUCCUUUCUAAGGAA
rnacentral:rRNA from 1 species